CGGCCCCACCCUGGUACCCCAGACCACACUGCUCCUUCUCUCAGAGGUUCUAGGGGAUGCCUCUACUGUCUUGUUGCCACAUAGAGAAACACAAAGUCUUAUCUUGCCCAUAUUUAAGCAAUGCGGUUUCCUCCUGAGAAGCCGAUAGGGCUUUGCUGAAAUUGUUAUAUUAGUUUAAAAGGAAAAAAAAAAAAAAGCCAGGCAUGGUGGCUCAUACCUAUAAUCCCAGCACUUUAGGAAGCCGAGGCGGGCAGAUUGCUUGAGCUCAGGAGUUCAAGACCAUCCUGGGCAACAUGUCGAAACCCCAUCUCUACAAACAAUACAAAAAAAAAAAUUGGCCGGGCAUGAUGGUCCACAACUGUGGUUUCAGCUACUCAGGCGGCUGAGGUGGGAGGAUCACUUGAGCCUGGGAGGCAGAGGUUGCAGUGAGCCAAGAUCACACCACUGCACUCCUGCCUGGGCGGCAAAGCCAGAUCCUGUCUCGGAAAAAAACAAAAACAAAACCCUCCUAGAGGAGGGUGAACAGAUGGACCCAAGGCCAAGAUCCAGGCGAGAGGGUUUCUCACUCCCCGCCAGGGCACAUAGCCCCAGGACGAGGAGCGCUGCCAGGAGCUGGGCGUCUCGCCGUCCCAUGUCUAGCUCAGCUGCACCCCAGGGUGGCUUGCAGAAUGCAUGGUGUCCACUGCCGGGCUCCAUCCUCCAGGGCUCCUCUGGGUCCGGGUCAAGUACCUCCAGGCUCUCUGCUGACUGUUCACCACUGGGCAACCACAGGGACUCGAUCCAUGAAAACUCUGGCAAGCCCCUUCAGGAUUCCUGCUGCGACCACCUGACCCAUGCAAAAGAGACCACUUCUCAGCCUCUCUCACUCUCCUGGCCCUGGCGGAAGCCUGUGUUGUCAUAGGCAUGCUUCCCUGGAAUCCUGCUCAGGCCCCCACGCAGGGACACUGAGUGCCCACAGAGUUGGGAAACCAUUACACGAGAUGGGACGUCUGCAAUAGAGUGGCAUCGCUAGUUGAAAGUGGAGCUGUUCACAACCUCCACAACUGUACUUGGUGGCCACGUCCCCAUCACAUGGGCUCAGACUGGGGGCUGGACAUUGACUUUGAGCCCCAAGUCUUCACCCUCAUGCAAAAACCAUCCUCCUUGGAGAUGCAGGCUGGGAAGGGCGCCAUGUCCGGAGUCCCUGCCCUGCUGUCAUCUGCCGACCUUUGUGCAGCCUGUCCCUUUCGUUAAGAAUUUCAGCACUGAGUUCACUGUGUUCCUUGUCAUGCUAAGACUUGGCCACAUCCCAGCCAUCUUCAACAUGGCGGUCGAUGUUUCAUCAAAAUUCACAGUCGCUCAGAUUUUAUUUUUCCUCAUCUCUAGGAACUUCCAUCUCCACUCCACUUCUGCCACUUCUGCCACCCUCCCAUGACCACACUCAGAACUUGAGCUCCACCUCUGAAAGAGGGUAUGCAAAUGUCCUUUCUGCCCAGGAUGUCCUAAGCUCCUAACAUUCUCCCUUUGUCUGAAUCCUAAAGCCCUCCAAUCCCCUAUUCCCCUGUGAGCCCCCUCCUGUCUAUCCUUCCUUCCUGCUUCUCCAGCCUGAUUUCCACAGUGCUCACUUCACCCACCGUCUUCCUCACUGCUGUUUCCCACUGUCUCUGUGCCUAUGCCAUCUGCCUAGCAUGGCCGACACCUACCUUGAAUUGUUGCCACUCUCAACGCAUGAUCUCAGCGCCAUCCAGGCACUCAGGGCUGGCGCCCUCCUCUUUCUGUUUAUCCUUCUCCACCCCUGCUCACUUCCAUUUUGCACACUUUGGGGAUGAUACUUUCCAUCAGUUCACAUAGAAAGUCAACAAAUGGGAACCACCUCAGCUAUCACCCAUGUGGACUUCCGCUUUUGACUAUGGAGUCACUGGUACCAGGCUAGCCUCCCACCAUGAGUAACUCUAAAACUACAUAAGUAACAGUCUGCAGAUGCUGAGCAGCAGGCAGUGCCAGACAGCGAUCCCUGAGAGAAGGGAAACAAUAGGGGGAGUCCCAUGGCUGCCUUGGUUUCCUGGAGACGCUCUCCAGACUACAGCACAGGGAGGGGAACCCAAAUAGCACUGAAGUCCCAUCGGGCUGAGGAGACAGAGGUCAGAAUUGGAAGCUUCUGAGGCAGGCGGGUUAUCAAGGUAAGAGAAGGAAGCUCCAGAAAUAUAAAAGUGUGUCCUUUGAGCUUUUCAUCAAAUACUAUGCUGUUCGUGCCCACAAGGCCAGGCUAAGUAGCCCCUGGGGACAGAACAAUCACUGGGGAGGCUAAACUGAACAACUAGUGUAGGGUUCGUGGGGCUGGAAAGCAUUUGAGCUCAGAGCAGCCAGAGGUGUUGACCACUUCAAGCAUUCAAUAAAGGCCAUGCCGUAAAAAGAAGGCUGAUCUUUCUAGAGGAAAGCUACUCAAAAUCCAUUCGAACAAAACUUUAAAACAAGUCUUGCAGGAAUCAAGUUAACCUGCAAGUAAAUUAACUGCUUGUAUUAGUUCACUCAGGUUGCUGUAACAAAAUACUACACAUUGUGUAGCUUAACCAACAGAAGUGUACUUUCUCACAAUUCUGGUGCCCAGAAGUCCAAGAUAGGGUGUCAGCACAUCUGGUUUCUACUGAGGCCUCUUUCUGCUUGCAGAUGGCUUUUUUUCCCCAUAUCUCACAUGGUCUUUCCUCUGUGCACGCACAUCUCUGGCGACUCUUUUCUUAUAAGGACACCAGUCAAAUUGAACCAGGGCCCACCCUAAGAGCCUCAUUUUAACCUGAUUACCCCUUUUAAGACACUGUCUCCAAAUGUAGUCACAUUCUUAGGUAAUGGAAUUUAAGGCUUCAUAUAUGAAUUUGGGGGAAAUAAUUCAACCGAUAACACUACCUGAGAGAGCAAAGCAUUCAACACUUUACUAAUGAAGACAGCAAAACCUAAAUACACAACAUAACAUCCCUAACGUCUAACAGAAAAUCAGAAGUUACUAGAUGUGUGGAGAGAACUAGGAAAUAUGGCCCAUAAUCAUUAGAAAAAUCAGUGAACAAAAACAGACUUAGACAUGGCAUAAAAUGUUCAAAGAUUGAAAGAAAAACAUAAUAUAAUAAAGGAACAAAAAGGAAUCUCAGUAGAUAAAUGGAAACUAAAAAUUAACCAGGUACAAAUUUUAGAAAUAAAAAAUACAACAUCUGAAAUGAAAAAUACACUGUAUGGGUUUUUGAUUAGAUACUAUUAGAUGCUGCAGAGGAAUGGUCAGUUUACUUGAAGUGAAGCCAGUGCAAGAUAAACUAUGCGAACUAGAGCAUAAAGUGAAAAAGGGCUAAACAAAUAAACAAGAUUCCAAUGACCGGUGAGACAAUGUCAAGCAAUCUAACAUACAUGUAAUUGAUGUACCAGUAGGAGAGGAGAGAAAAAAAUCUUUUAAAGAAAUACUUGAUCAAGAAUGAGUAUUGAGUAAAUAUUCAUUAGAUUUUUCUGAAGUUGGUGAAAAGUAUAAACCUACAAAUCUUAGAGGCUCAAAGAACUUCAAGGAAGAUAAAUACCAAAAAUAUCACAUCAAGGCACAGCAUGAUUCGUCUGUUGAAAAUCCGGUGAUUUAAAAAACUCUUAAAGCAGCUGGAGGAAAAGACUUCUAUAAUUUGAAUGUCCCUCCAAACUCAUGUCGAAACUUAAUCCCCAAUGUGGCCGUAUUGAGAGGUGGGGCCUUUAACAGGUGAUUGGAUCGUGAGAGCUCUGCUCUCAUGAAUGAAUUAAUCCACUCAUGAAUUAAUGGAUUCAUGGGAUGAUGGAUUCAUGGGUUAUUGUGGAAGGGGACCUGGUGGCUUUAUAAGAAGAGAGACCUGUGCUAGGACAUGAACACACUCAGCGCCCUCACCAUGGAAUACCCUGGGCUGCCUUGGGACACAUCUGAGAGUCCCCACCAGCAAGAAGGCGCUCAAGAGAUACAACCCCUCAACCUUGGACAUCCCAGUCUCCAGAACUGUAAGAGAUGAAGUUCAUUUCUUAUAAAUGACCAGUUUCAACUUAGCAACAGAAAAUAGGCUAAGACAAAGACAUACAGCAUGGAGGAGAACAUAAUAACAAUAAUGACUGAUAACACAGUAUUAUUUACUCAACACUCAUUCUUGAUCAAGUAUUUCUUUUUAUCUGAUAAUGCAAACCAGAAGACAAUGGGAUAACAUGUGUAAGUGCUAGGGAAAAGUUCUAUACUCUGAAAAUAUGCUUUCAGAACAAUUGCAGAGUUGAUUCAUUGUGACAAAGACUGUAAGGCCUCCAAAACCUACAAUAUUUACUAUCUAGCCGUUUAAAAAAAUCCAGGCUGGUUGCAGUGGCUCACGCCACAAUCCCAGCACUUAGGGAGGCCUAGGUGGGCAGAUCACCUGAGGUCAGGAACAGCCUGGCCAACAUGGUGAAAUUCCAUCUCUACUAAAAAUACAAUAAUUAGUCAGGCAUGGUAGCUCAUGCUUGCAAUCCCAGCUACUUAGGAGGCUGAAGCAGAAGAAUCACUUGAACUCAGGAGAGGUUGCACAUACCCCUAUAUUGUAGCCUUAAGCUGUCUAAAAAUAAAAUUUAAAAAUAACAAUGGAGGGAAAUAUUUGUAUUCUAUUUUUCUUAAGAAAAUGUUACAGAAAUGAGCCUUGUGAGCCUUAAUCCUUUUUCCUCCCUCUAUAAUCUUGUCCUGAAAUUAAGAUAUUUAGUAUACUGGUUGUUGGGAGACAGUUCUCCAUAAAGUUCUCACAUUUCUGCACAUCCUGUGAAUAAGAAACUAACUAUCCUUAUGGCAUAAGACCUAAACUUAAGGCACAAUAUUAAGUACUGCCUUGACAUCUGGUGAAACAGAGAGGGCCUCAAGCAGCCUCACCGAAAGUUCCCCUCCCAUCUCUACUCGUGGAUAAGGUCCCCUAGCCAAACAACCCUCCCUGUCAAGGGAUCAGGCACCGUGCUUGCUUAUCCGUGAGUAGCAGAUUUCAGUUUUCUGCCAGCCCACAGAAUUAUUUAAACAAGCCAAUUGCAUCCUCCUGGGAGAACCACUAGCCACUACGCCCUCUUGAUACUACAAAGCCUGCUUUCCGCAGCCUUUGCUUAUUCACUCUGCUCCUGAAUGCCACCUCUGUGUGGCUCCACAUGGCACAGUGUCCUCAGCCCCUGAGCUAUAAGGAUAUGGGACUCACAAACUGCUAUUGUUCUCACCUAUGUUGUGUUGGGGAUGGCGUGUUCAGUCAUCCCAUCAUCCUAGGGUGAAAUCCCUCCCUCACUAACGAAAUGCAUGGGAGGCAAUUAAAACAGUUCUUUCUUCCAGACUAUCUCUCCAAGGAUGUUUGGGUCACAAACAAUCUUGGAAAGUGGAUAAAGUGUCUCCCUCUGAAGCAAAGAGCAGGCAAGCUCACUGUCCCUUAUAAAACACUUGGAUCCCUAAGUCCAGGGCUUCUCUCCUAUAAGGCAACCCACUGUGUGUGCAGGCACCCAUCUGAGCCCAUUCCUGGUCCCAGUCCCUUGGGGGUCUUGGAGGCAAAGAGAACCAACACAAGUAACCUUUCUUCAUGCUGCUUGCUGUAGCAUGAGUAAUAAAGUCAUUUAUCUUUGAACCAGGAAUCUCCUGUCUUCUGCUAGCAAACAGGAAACUGGCAGACUCACCUGCUGGCUUGCACGUAGGAUAUAAUAAGCUCAGCCCUUCCCACUUCUCGACACUGAUAGACUAGAUCAGAUGAAAUGUAGAAAAUCCUUCCAAUACUUGCCUUUAGCUUCACUGAGUCCCCUUGUAGCACGUGCAUGUGUGGGCAUGUAUGGUUUGGUCUAAUUUAGUCUGUUUGCUACCUCAAAAAUGUCCAGCUCAGGGCACUGUUAAGAGCUGAAAAGAACAAGUCAGAAAUCCUUUAAAAAUAAUACUAUUUAUUCUUGUGUUACCAACUGGUGUCUUCUGUCUACUUGGACCUUUAAGUCAGGGAACCCCUUCUUCCUAAUGGCCAUCCCUUCCUUCUGGUAAGUUACAAGGACUGGGAUUUGCCAGGUGUGUGUCUCUUUCUUAUGAGCUGAUGUUUCCUAUCAGACUCAUAAAAAUUAAAUAUUGCAACAAACCACCCCUCCCUCUACUUGCAAAGAAAGGUGAGGGAGUUUUCUUAAGUUAACGAUAUCUUUCCCAGUGACCCUACAAAUAUGAACUUAAGCCACAGCUUGCCUUCGAGAAUUAGUUCCUGGUCUGACCUUUAGUUCAAUAAAUGCCCUGAACAGAACCCUGUUGUGUAGGAAAUUAUCUAGAAGCAACUGUGGCCUCCGAGUACAUAGCCAGUGGCAGAACAGAGGUGUGCAUAGACCAAAUUAAGGUGUGAAACCUGCUAUUUAUUAAAUCGAUUGACAGCACGUAGUGAAAAAUGAAGGGAAAGAGAAGGUGAACACCUCAUACAGGUGUGGGAGGGUAGAAGGACCACAUGCCUGAAUUCUGGCCACGAGGAACUCACGCAUCCUCUCCGUCUCUCCACCUUCUCCACCAGGGUCAUAGUAAUGGACAUCUCAGCUGGGGACCAGGAGGUGGAGGGAGCCUGGGGCUAACACAUGCUCUUGCUUUGUCUAAGAGAUUCUGGGGGAGGGCUUGUGAGCUCAGCUGCAGCCCCGCACGAUCCACAGAGCAGCCCAUGUUUACUGCGCAUUUCCGGGGCCAAGCGCAGGGUGGGUGGUCACCGUGAGCUGCUGGUUCAGGGCUGAAGGAGUUGUCAGCCUAGAGCACACCAUCGGUUCCCUGUGAUGCGGCCUUCUCAUCCUUUUCUCUCCCUAAUGACGUUCUUGUUGGUUCCAUCCUUCUCAUCACACAGCAUAUCUCACAGAAGACCACUCUUUCACUGUCCACCUUGAAUACUCCUUAUGAAUGUGUGCCCCCAUAUGCACCUGACAUACCUCCAGUUUCCCAAAAUCCACUUUGUUUUCUUGCCUCCCACAGCAGAAUUGCCUUAUCUCACACAGUGGUGACAGCACUCUGUAAUAAUCUGCAUGGGCCAGGGCUCCUUGGUUGCAGGUAACAGAUACCACUGUUACGGCCCAACUCUGUUCUUCUAUGUUGAAGCCGGAACCCCCAGCGCCUCAGAAUGGGAUCACAUCUGGAGAAGGCGCCUUUAAAGAGGUGGAGGCGUAAACCGACCGUAGCCUACACUUGUGCCAAUCACCGAGUUCUGACCAAUCAAAUGCAGCCAACUGUCCGAACUGAGGUGCCAGUCACCGAGUUCUGACCAAUCAAAUGCAGCCAACAGUCCGAACUGCGUUCAAGUGAGGCAAAGGCGGAGCUGUAACCAGUCGGGCUGUUUUUGUGCCUCAUAUCCAUUUUCUGUGCCUCACUUUCCUGUCUCUGUCCAUAAAUCUGCUUCCACCCCGUGACUGUGCUGGAGUCUAAGCCUACUCUGACUCAGCAGGCUACCCGAUUCGUGAAUAGUUCUUUGCUCAAUUAAACUUCUUUAAAUGUAA
rnacentral:lncRNA from 1 species